rnacentral:rRNA from 1 species
GACGAACGCUGGCGGCGUGCUUAACACAUGCAAGUCGAACGGAAAGGCCCUGCUUUUGUGGGUUGCUCGAUUGCCGAACGGGUGAGUAACACGUGAGUAACCUGCCCUUGACUUUGGGAUAACUUCAGGAAACUGGGGCUAAUACCGGAUAUGAGCUCCUGCUGCAUGUGGGUGGUUGGAAAGAUUCGGCGGUUGUGGAUGGACUCGCGGGUUAUCAGCUUGUUUGUGUGGUAGUGGCUGUCCAAGGCUUUGACGGGUAGCCGACCUGAGAGGGUGACCGGCGACAUUGGGCCUGAGAUACGGCGCAGAAUGCUACGGGAGGCAGCAGUGGGGAAUAUGGCACAAUGGGCCGAAGCCUGAUGCAGCAACGCUGCGUGCGGGAUGACGGCCUUCGGGUUGUAAACAGAUUUCGAAGGUGACGAAGCCUGAGUGACGGUAAUGGGUAAAGAAGCAACGGCUAACUACGUG